rnacentral:RNase_P_RNA from 1 species
CCUGCUGGAUGGACGGUCGCUCGGCUGACGGGCUUAGCCUGUCUGGCCGGGAGGAAAGUCCGGUCUCCAUAGGGCAGCAUGCCGGCUAACGGCCGGGGGGAUUCGCUCAAAGUGAAUUCCACGGAUAGUGCCACAGAAAAUAUACCGCCGCCCGCUGGACCCAGUCCGGUGGGAUUGGUAAGGGUGAAAAGGUGCGGUAAGAGCGCACCGCGGCCGGAGUAAUCCGGCUGGCAGGGCAAACCCCAUGCGGAGCAAGACCAAAUAGGGGAGGAGGGGCGGCCCGUUCCGUUCGACUUCCGGGUAGGUUGCUAGAGCCGUCCAGUAAUGGGCGGCCCAGAGGAAUGACUGCCGCCCCGCAAGGGGACACAGAAACCGGCUUACAGUCCGGCAGGCCCA